UACGUAGGGGGCUAGCGUUGUCCGGAAUCAUUGGGCGUAAAGAGCGUGUAGGCGGCCCGGUAAGUCCGCUGUAAAAGUCAAAGGCUCAACCUUUUUGAAUGUCAGUGGAUACUGCCGGGCUAGAGUCCGGAAGAGGCGAGUGGAACUCCUGGUGUAGCGGUGAAAUGCGUAGAUAUCUGGAGGAACACCGGUGGCGAAGGCGGCAUCCUGGACCAUGGACUGACGCUGAGGAGCGAAAGCCAGGGGAGCAAACGGGG
rnacentral:rRNA from 1 species